UAUGCUGGUUCCGCAUUUCCUCUCCGCUAGGUGGGGGCGGCGGGUGAGGUGGGCACCGCGGCUCGUACCCGCUCACACUGGCCUGACCCCGGCUCGGAGCAGCGGCUGCCAGUCCUUCCGCUGUCGGCGGACCGAGGCCUCUCUGGUGCCUCCCAGCUCCCGAGCGAGCUCCGAGCCCCGACUGCGACAGGGGCCCGCGGCCCCUCCCCUCCCCUCUGAGGACAGAAGAUGAGCUUCCUCUUCAGCAGCCGCUCUUCUAAAACAUUCAAACCAAAGAAAAAUAUCCCUGAAGGGUCUCAUCAAUAUGAACUCUUAAAACAUGCAGAAGCAACUCUAGGAAGUGGGAAUCUGAGACAAGCUGUUAUGUUGCCAGAGGGAGAGGAUCUCAAUGAAUGGAUUGCUGUUAACACUGUGGAUUUCUUCAAUCAGAUCAACAUGUUAUAUGGAACUAUUACAGAAUUCUGCACUGAAGCAAGCUGUCCAGUCAUGUCUGCAGGUCCAAGAUAUGAAUAUCAUUGGGCAGAUGGUACUAAUAUUAAAAAGCCAAUCAAAUGUUCUGCACCAAAAUACAUUGACUAUUUGAUGACUUGGGUUCAGGACCAACUUGAUGAUGAAACCCUUUUUCCUUCUAAGAUUGAAUAUUCACGACUAUUCUGGGAUAUUUGUUCUUCCAAAGAACUUAGAAUCAUUUUGUCAAGGUGUCCCAUUUCCCAAAAACUUUAUGUCUGUGGCAAAGACCAUCCUAAAGCGUCUGUUUAGGGUUUAUGCCCACAUUUAUCACCAGCACUUUGAUUCUGUGAUGCAGCUGCAAGAGGAGGCUCACCUCAAUACCUCCUUCAAGCACUUUAUUUUCUUUGUUCAGGAGUUUAAUCUGAUUGAUAGGCGUGAGUUGGCACCUCUUCAGGAAUUAAUUGAGAAGCUUGGAUCAAAAGACAGAUAAAUGUUUCUUCUAGUACACGAUUACCCUCUUGCUUCAUCUACUGCUAGAGCUAUCUCAUUCCUAUCUGUUAUAGACUAGUGAUACAAACUUUAAGAAACAGGAGAGAGAGACAACUAUUGUCUCUGCUGAUAAAAAUUGUCCCAAAGGUAGGUUGGCCUAAUACCUUCCGAGUGAGAAAUUCAGGACACAGCCAGAUUUGAGGCACUAUGUCAUCACACUUCUUAUCACCUGGUCACAUUUUUAAUGUGAUGUUUAAUCUGUAGUUUAUCAGUUUACAUAUUCUUUUACUAAAGAAAAUGACUUAGUUUGUUUCAGGUUAUAGCAGAAUGGAUAUUAAGAAUUUGGACCAAUAAUUUAUUAACAAGUUUCCACCACAAAUUUGUUAAUAUCUCAGUCAGAUAGGUUUUAUUCUGCUUAUAAAAGAGGUGGUGUUUUUUUUGUUUCCUUAAGGUUUAGAACAAUUUGUCACUUUGGAUAAACAUGUUGUUUGAAGUUAUAUACUAGUGUUUUUAUAGAUAAUACAUAAUAUGUAUAUUUUUUCAAAAUCCAUGAUUGCCAUUUAAGUCAUAAGACAUAUGUGAGAGUAACCAAAGUUAUUUCUAAAAUGACUUUGCUUUUUAAUCUUAAUUUGCAUUUUAUUCACAUAUGAACCUCAAUGUUUAGUAGUGUGUGCAUAUUAGAAAUAAUUGUUUUAAGGCAUCUAAGGUGGUCUUGUAGAUUUUUGUUUUUUUAAAUACUUUGUUCAGAUUAAUUUGAAUAUAUAACUUGGCUGACAAAAAGAAAACUUCUAAAAAAUUAAGACAGAUUUAGGCCUCAAACCACUAUUUUCAUUCAUGUUGUCUUUCAGAAGGUUUGAAAUUCUGGAUAGGAUGGAAAAUACUCAGAUUACUUUAUUGUUUUGAAUUUCCUUUUUAAAAAAUGAAUUGUGUGUUUGGGUUGUUUUUGUGUGUGUGGCUUGAGACUUAAUAAAGAAUACUAUAGAAAUGCAUCAACUUUAUCACAAUAAGGAUAAAACUUAAGGAAA